rnacentral:rRNA from 1 species
AGAGUUUGAUCCUGGCUCAGAUUGAACGCUAGCGGGAUGCUUUACACAUGCAAGGCGAACGGCAGCGCGAGAGAGCUUGCUCUCUUGGCGGCGAGUGGCGGACGGGUGAGUAAUAUAUCGGAACGUGCCCAGUAGCGGGGGAUAACUACUCGAAAGAGUGGCUAAUACCGCAUACGCCCUACGGGGGAAAGGGGGGGAUCGCAAGACCUCUCACUAUUGGAGCGGCCGAUAUCGGAUUAGCUAGUUGGUGGGGUAAAGGCUCACCAAGGCAACGAUCCGUAGCUGGUUUGAGAGGACGACCAGCCACACUGGGACUGAGACACGGCCCAGACUCCUACGGGAGGCAGCAGUGGGGAAUUUUGGACAAUGGGGGAAACCCUGAUCCAGCCAUCCCGCGUGUAUGAUGAAGGCCUUCGGGUUGUAAAGUACUUUUGGCAGAGAAGAAAAGGUAUCCCCUAAUACGGGAUACUGCUGACGGUAUCUGCAGAAUAAGCACCGGCUAACUACGUGCCAGCAGCCGCGGUAMRRGU